AUGGCCCCCCCUGAGCUGGUGACACAGGGGGGUGUGCACGAACAGAUCCGCCUCUCCGUGCAUGACGUUCUGGUGGCUUGGCAUGAGAAAACUGUCAUUGUCAAAUAACUUGACUGGAGACUUCUAAACUAAAGGGACAGUGCAUGCAGUUUCUUCCACAGGGUGGUAUUAAAUAAUAAACAUGUAUAUUUAAAAAUGAAAGGACUUCCUGUUUCAGUUCCAAACUUCAGUCAUUGGAUGUUAGUCCAACUCAAACCAUGCUUAGCCCUGCCCCCACAUUUAUCCUUCAGCAGUUGGAUCUGAUCCUGUUUUCUCUGCUGUUUCAACAAGCAGCCUGUGACAUGUUCCUGCCUUUGUGCACAACAUUCAACCAAUAAAUUAUAGGGAGCUCCCUGCAAACACACAAACACACACACACGCGGGCACACACUUGUAAAGAUGUUAGGGCCUUUCUUUCUGCCCAGUAUCUUAGUCCAGACCAGAUCUUUUAAAGUGGGGGUUUUGUGGAAAAGUCAWCAAUAGCUUAUCUGUCACAGAUAGCUCUUUUAAAUACUAUUUUUAUUGAUGUAAAAUGCAACCCACCAUUUUUAAUUGUGAUUUUCAAAUAUUCAGAAUCUAGUUUCCUAAAUUGUACAUAAACCUGCUACCAUUUUUUAAUGUUUAGGUGUUUGGACCUAAACAUAUAGGCAGCAGGUAUAUUUCCAAAAUUAUCUAAUAAAUAAAAUCUGGUCGGUGCAAAAAAAAAAUCACUGGAGGACUGAACAUAAAUCCAAGGAUCUGAACAAUAGUGGGAGAACUGUGUCCAGUUUCCAAGUGUGAUGAUUACUUAAAGAGAGCAGGUGGGAAGAUUACUGAGUGUGAGUAGGUGUGAAGAUUACUAAGUCACAGCAGGUGUGAAGAUUCCCGAUGACAGCAGGUGAAACAAUUACUGAGUGAGAGCAGGUGUGAAGAUUACUGAGUGAGUACAAGUGUGACGAUUACUGAGUGAGAGCAGGUGUGAUGAUUACUGAGUGAACGCAGGUGUAAUGAUAAGUGAAUGAGAGCAGGUGUGAUGAUUACUGAGUGAACGCAGGUGUAAUGAUAAGUGAAUGAGAGCAUCUGUGACUAUUAAUGAGUGAGAGCAGGUGUAAUUAUCACCGAUGAGAUGGGAGCAGGUAUGACGAUUACUGAUGAAAGCAUGCGUGACAAUUACUGAGUGACAGCAGGUGUGAUUAUUACUGAGUAAGAGCAGGUGUGAUGAUUAUUGAGUGAAAGCAGGUGAGAUGAUUACUGAUAAGAUGAGAGCAGGUGUGACAAUUACUGAGUGAGAUCAGGUGUGACGAUUACUGAGUGAAAGCAUAUGUGAUGAUAACUGAGUGAGAGCAGGUGUGAAUAUUACUAAUGAGCUGAGAGCAGGUGUCAAGAUUACUGAGUGAAAGCAGAUGCGAUAAUUACUGAAUGAGAGCAGGUGUGAUGAUAACUGAGUGAGAGCAAGUGUGAUUAUUACUGAAUGAGAGCAGGUGUGAAGAUUACUGAUGAGCUGAGAACAGGUGUGAUGAUUACUGAGUGAAAGCAGGUCUGUUGAUUACUGUAUGAGUGCAGGUGUGACGAUCACUGAAUGAGAGCAGGUGUGACGAUCACUGAAUGAGAGCAGGUGUGAUGAUUACUGAAUGACUGCAGGAAUGACAAUCACUGAGGAGCAGGUGGGAAGAUUACUGAGUGAGAGCAGGUGUGAAAAUUACUGAAUGAGAGCAGGUGUGAUGAUUACUGAGUGAAAGCAGGUGUGAUGAUUACUGAAUGACUGCAGGAAUGACAAUCACUGAGGAGCAGGUGGGAAGAUUACUGAGUGAGAGCAGGUGUGAAGAUUACUGAAUGAGAGCAGGCGUGUGGAGCCAAGGAGAAUCUGUGGUCAUGGAAAAUCAAAGUUAAAAAUCAGGCUAAACAAAUAAAAACACUGAAAUAAGUCAUACAGAAACAUACUGACACACGAAGAGAAAAAUGCAGAAAACUCAAACUAAGAAACAGCAAACACCAAAGCUAAAGUUUUAUUUUAGAUAUUUUAGUUCUUGCAUCACUAUAUUUAACUCAUUUUAUACCACAAGAUUGUCCUUUCCUUGUCAUCUUAWUUCCACUUCCCCUCGACUUCAACAGACAGAGAUCUUUACCUGCUGCAGUAUUUUUUGUUCGGUGUCUCUGCAAUGACAGUGUCGCUCCAUUUCAAGCCUUAGAGAUCCGUUCCCGUUCUUSAAAACUAACAUUUGCUUGUUUUUAUCAUGUUGUGAUUUUUCUCUAUGCCCUUAAAGUAGCCUUGAUCUGUUAAUUAGAUCAUCUCUAAAUAAACUUUCUCCUCAUAAUUAUUUUUCUUUAGUUUUUUUUGUUUCAUUUUGCUUGCCGUGUAAGAAGUAUUAUCUCUUUUCUGUUCUUC